rnacentral:rRNA from 1 species
AUGGCACACAAUAGAGCACCCAGGCCGGACAACAUUCCUGUAGAAUUCUAUCAAGUGUGUUGGGAUAUCGUGAAGGAUGAUAUUAUGCUCCUGUUUGAACACUUUCAUAAAGGGGAAUUGGACGUACAGCGCCUUAAUUAUGGAGUGAUUACUCUUCUCCCCAAAACCGCGGGCGCGGACAAGAUUCAACAGUUCCGGCCGAUUUGCCUCCUGAGAUGUCCGUACAAACUUAUCACUAAGGUCCUAGAUAGGCGAGUUGAAAAAUAUGCUGAUAAGCUCAUAAAUAGGGCCCAGAACACUUUCGUGAAAAAAAGGAACAUCAUGGACGGGGUGAUGUCUCUGCAUGAAAUUCUUAACUAUACUCACGUGAAAAAGAGAGUGGGGGUGAUUCUGAAACUUGAUUUUGAGAAGGCUUACGACAAAGUCAACUGGGAUUUUAUUCUUGAGUGUCAUAAGCUCCGAGGCUUUAACGAAAAAUGGUGCGGGUGGAUUAGAAGUAUCCUACACAAUGGGACUAUGAGCAUUAAGUUGAAUAACCAAGUUGGCCCUUACUUUCAAAGUGCGAAAGGGGUCCGGCAAGGUGACCCCCAUUCCCCUUUCUUGUUCAAUUUAGCUGUGGACUGUUUGGCUAAAAUGAUUACAAAUGCCCAAAAAAGUGGCCUGAUAGUGGGGCUGGCCGCUGAUUUAAUUCCUAAUGGAGUAGCAGUUCUUUAG